CCUACGGGCGGCUGCAGUGGGGAAUAUUGGACAAUGGGGGGAACCCUGAUCCAGCCAUGCCGCGUGUGUGAAGAAGGCCCUCGGGUUGUAAAGCACUUUCAGUGAGGAAGAACGCCUGGUGGUUAAUACCCAUCAGGAAAGACAUCACUCACAGAAGAAGUACCGGCUAACUCCGUGCCAGCAGCCGCGGUAAUACGGAGGGUGCGAGCGUUAAUCGGAAUUACUGGGCGUAAAGCGCGCGUAGGUGGCUUGAUAAGCCGGUUGUGAAAGCCCCGGGCUCAACCUGGGAACGGCAUCCGGAACUGUCUAGCUAGAGUGCAGGAGAGGAAGGUAGAAUUCCCGGUGUAGCGGUGAAAUGCGUAGAGAUCGGGAGGAAUACCAGUGGCGAAGGCGGCCUUCUGGACUGACACUGACACUGAGGUGCGAAAGCGUGGGUAGCAAACAGGAUUAGAGACCCCAGUAGUC
rnacentral:rRNA from 1 species